CCUACGGGAGGCAGCAGUGAGGAAUAUUGGUCAAUGGACGCAAGUCUGAACCAGCCAUGCCGCGUGCAGGAAGACGGCUCUAUGAGUUGUAAACUGCUUUUGUACGAGCGUAAACGCAGAUACGCCUAUCUGUCUGAAAGUAUCGUACGAAUAAGGAUCGUCUAACUCCGUUCCAGCAGCCGCGGUAAUACGGAGGAUUCAAGCGUUAUCCGGAUUUAUUGGGUUUAAAGGGUGCGUAGGCGGUCGGAUAAGUUAGAGGUGAAAUCCAGAGGAUCAACUUCGGAAUUGCCUCUGAUACUGUUAGGCUAGAGAGUAGGUGAGGUAGGCGGAAUGUAUGGUGUAGCGGUGAAAUGCUUAGAGAGCACGAAGAACCCCGAUUGCGAAGGCAGCUUACUAAACUGUGACUGACAUUGAUGCUCGAAAGUGUGGGUAUCAAACAGGAUUAGAUACCCGUGUAGUC
rnacentral:rRNA from 1 species